GGAAUUGUGGCUCAGUGGUAGAGCGCUUGCCUAGCAUGUGCGGGGCCCUGGGUUCGAUCCUCAGCACCA
rnacentral:tRNA from 1 species